rnacentral:lncRNA from 1 species
AUGAUAGUUCUUAUUUUUAAUUUUUUGGGGGAACUUCCAUCCUGUUUUCCAUAAUGGCUGUACCAAUUUACAUUCCCACCAACAGUGUACAAGAGUUACUUUUUCUCCACAUUCUUGCCAACACUUGAUAUCUUUUGUCUUUUUGAUAAUAUACGGGUUGUCUCUUCACACUAUUGAUCGCAUCUUUUGCUAUGCAGGAUAUGUUUUGUUUGAGUGCUGCUGUGCAAGGGAGGACCUUGCCUUCCCAUCCCUGUCAGCACAUGUGUGCCUAUGCACUCUGCUAUGCUACUGCUGCUGGUGUGCAUGCAUCCUGCCAUCCCUCCCCUGCUCUGCACUGCCAUCAUCUUUUGAUCAUUGUUGGACACAGAGCAUGCCAGCCCCAUCUCCAUCGGCACCUAGCCCCUGCUCUGACAUUGCCACCAGUGUGAAACUAUACAUGGAGAACAGUAGACCUGUCCCUGCCCUGAGUGGCCACCACCACCUGUGUAAAUGUGUAUGAAGCGCACACACAGUCCUGGGCCCCCAGUGGCCCACUCCUGUGCUAACACUACCACCAGUGUGAACCAAUAUACAGUGGCUUUCAGAGGCCUCCUGGACCCCCAAACUAUGAUGCCACUGCCACUGCUGCAAGCACCUGCACAGAAGCUGGCACCCUGAGACUGCCAGGAACCUGCCACAGCUGAAGAGUGUGCACACCACUGUUCUGCUGCUGCUGCUGCUGCUGAUACAUGUGAAAUAGAAUGAAUCUUGCUGCCACUGCCCCACAAAGUGCUUUGGCUGGCACCACUCAUCGGAGUGUUGUUACCGGCAGUUCAGGAGCAACUAGGCCCCUCCUGCAUAACAGGUUUCUAACCUCGAGGAGCCAGAGAAAAAAGCCAGGGCUUGAUACCAGUCUCCCAGAGUUAGAGUAUGCAGUACAGAAGUCCUGGACUGAGCCUUGGCCACCUAAAAUCUUCCAGAAAUGAAGCUAGUUGACUGAAAUCACUUUAUACCACAAACAAAUCCCAAAGGUCAUCAAAUAGGAUACAAGAAAAAAAAUUCAAAGGAAAGCAACUUCAAAAAUUUAAGGAACAUGAGCCCACAAAGAUGAGAAAGAACAAGCAAAAGAACUCUGACAACUCAAAAAUCCAGAGUAUUUUAUUUUCUCCAAAUGAUAGCACUAGUUCUCUAGCAAGGGUUCUUAACUGGCAUGAGGUGGCUGAAAUGACAGAAAUAUAAUUCAGAAUAUGGAUAGGAAUGAAGAUUAUGGAGAUCUAGGAGAGUGUUUAAACCAAAUCUAAGAAAGCUAAGAAUCACAAUGAAAUGAUACAGAAGUUGACAGACAAAAUAACCGUUAUAGAAGAGAGUGUAACCAACCUGAGAGAGCUGAAAAACCCACUACAAGAAUUUCAGAAUAUAAUUGCAAGUUUAAACAGCAGAAUAGACAUAAUUGAGGAAAGAAUCUCAGAGUCUGAAGACUGACUUUGUGAAAGAAGGCAGUCAGACAAAAAUAAAGACAAAAGAAUGAAAACGAACAAAUGAAAUCUCCAAGACAUAUGGGAUUAUGUAAAGAAGCUGAAUCUAUAACUCGUUGGCAUUCCUGAAAGACAUGAAGAAAGUAUAAGCAACUUGGAAAAUGUAUUUCAGGAUAUCAUUUAUGAUAAUGUCCCCAACCUAGCUAGAGAGGCCAAUAUUCAAAUUUAGGAAAUACAGAGAACCCUGAAAAUACUUCACAAGAAGAUCAUCCCUCAGACACGUAAUCAUCAGAUUCUCUAAGGUUGAAAUGAAAGAACAAAUGUUAAAGGCAGCCAGAGAGAAAGGGCCACCUAAAAAAGGAAGCCCUUCAGACUACCUACAGAGUUCUCAGCAAAACCCUACAAGCCAGAAGAGUCUGGGACCCUAUGUUCAACAUUCUUAAAGAAAAGAAAUUCCAACCAAGAAUUUCAUAUCCAGUCAAACUAAGCUUCAUAACCAAAGGAGAAAUAAGAUCUUUUUCAGACAAGCAAAUACUGAGAGCAUUCUUUACCACCAGAGCUGCCUUACAAGAACUCCUGAAUGAAGCACUCAAUGUGGAAAGGAAAGACCAUUACCAGCCACUACAAGAAAACACACUUAAAUACACAAACUGGUGACACUAUAAGGCAACUACGCAAACAAGUUAGCAUAACAACCAGCUAAUGACACAAUAACAGGAUCAAAUCCACAUGUGUCAAUAUUAACCUUGAAUGUAAAUGGGCUAAAUGCCCCACCUAAAAGGCACAGAAUGGCAAGCUUGAUAAAGAUGCAAGACCCAAUGGUAUGCUGUCAUCAAGAGAGUCAUCUCACAUGCAAUGACACACAUAAGCUUAAAAUAAAGAAGUGGAGAAAAAUCUACUAAAAGCAAAUAGAAAACAGAAAAAAGGAGGGGUUGCAAUCCUAAUUUCAGAAAAAAAGAACAUUAAACUAACAAAGAUUAAAAAAA